rnacentral:rRNA from 1 species
GAUGAACGCUGGCGGCGUGCCUAAUACAUGCAAGUCGAGCGAAUGGAUUAAGAGCUUGCUCUUAUGAAGUUAGCGGCGGACGGGAGAGUAACACGUGGGUAACCUGCCCAUAAGACUGGGAUAACUCCGGGAAAACGGGGCUAAUACCGGAUAACAUUUUGAACCGAAUGGCCAGAAAUUGAAUGGCGGCUUCCGCCUUCACUUAUGGAUUGACCCGCGUUGCAUUAGCUAGUUGGUGAGGUAACGGCUCACCAAGGCAACGAUGCGUAGCCGACCUGGGAGGGUGAUCGGCCACACUGGGACUGAGACACGGCCCAGACUCCUACGGGAGGCAGCAGUAGGGAAUCUUCCGCAAUGGACGAAAGUCUGACGGAGCAACGCCGCGUGAGUGAUGAAGGCUUUCGGGUCGUAAAACUCUGUUGUUAGGGAAGAACAAGUGCUAGUUGAAUAAGCUGGCACCUUGACGGUACCUAACCAGAAAGCCACGGCUAACUACGUGCCAGCCGCCGCCGUAA